UCCUUUCCAACUUAUCUUUAAAGCGCAUAGCUUAUUUUUUUUGGCCUUUGAUACUUUCCCUCUCGUAUUCAUUAUACGAUUUAUUCGAUGCUAAAAAGUGUAUUUCUUCAUUUUCUGUGUUCAAACUUUAUGCUUUUCUCUAUGUACUUUUGAAGACAAUAGUGUGAAUUCUCUUUUGCUUCUCGUCUGAUGUUAACUUGUCAAGUCAU
rnacentral:lncRNA from 1 species